GACGAACGCUGGCGGCGUGCCUAACACAUGCAAGUCGAGUGAGUGGAUCUCCUUCGGGAGUGAAGCUAGCGGCGGACGGGUGAGUAACACGUGGGCAACCUGCCUCAUAGAGGGGAAUAGCCUUUCGAAAGGAAGAUUAAUACCGCAUAAGAUUGUAGCUUCGCAUGAAGUAGCAAUUAAAGGAGCAAUCCGCUAUGAGAUGGGCCUGCGGCGCAUUAGCUAGUUGGUGAGGUAACGGCUCACCAAGGCGACGAUGCGUAGCCGACCUGAGAGGGUGAUCGGCCACAUUGGGACUGAGACACGGCCCAGACUCCUACGGGAGGCAGCAGUGGGGAAUAUUGCACAAUGGGGGAAACCCUGAUGCAGCAACGCCGCGUGAGUGAUGACGGCCUUCGGGUUGUAAAGCUCUGUCUUCAGGGACGAUAAUGACGGUACCUGAGGAGGAAGCCACGGCUAACUACGUGCCAGCAGCCGCGGUAA
rnacentral:rRNA from 1 species